AUUUGUUAUCUCUUUUUCUGUUUUAGGCUCUGUAGAGAAAAGGCCUUGUCUUGACUGCUUUCAUUUUGUCAUGGUCAGUGCUUCUGGACAGUGCUUGGAAGUCUCAAGAAGGUUCCUACAGACUGUCUUGAGCUGAGCUUUGCUGCAAAAGAUCCUGAAACCACACAGCAGUGUCCUCUCAAGGAUACAGAAGGUGACAUCUGUCAGAAAUCAGAAAUUGCAGUUUCUGAGGCUUCCAGGAACAGAGGUGAUGGGACACUGCCCUGGUGGCCAGCGUUGUGGUAUUUUUGGGAGCUGUACAGUACUAAUCAUCUUUCUGCUAAGAUUCAUUUUCUUCCAUAUUCCCCAGAAAUUUCCAGGCUGACCUGCUGCCCCCCAGGAGGCACCUGACAUACGCAUAUCCAUGGCUCUGCAGAACCUUGUGCAGACACAUGUACCACGGCGAGCAUCUCAUGGAGUCCUUGGAGAGUAGUGGAGCAGGUGGUGUCAUGUGUGGUGAGGCUGAGUGGGACAGGCAUGGAGUCCAUGAUGGGCAGGCAGAUAUAGACAAGCGAAAGCAGGGACCUCAAGCUGAGAGUCAAAGGCAGCCAUGAUGGCCUAGGCAGGUCCAAAAAGGGAAGGAGGCUGAGGCUUUCUUUAUGACUGGGCUUUAGGAACAGCACUACUGCUGAUGCAACCUCACAAAACUUCCAGAAUAUUCUCUCCUCAUCCCUGUACUGUCUGUCCUCUCUCCACUGUCCCUCAGGGUCACUCCGGCUCACACUUUCCUUUCAGUACCUUCUGGAAUUUCUUAGAGGUCCUUCCAGUCCUGCCUGGUACCACAUACCUCACUCACUGCUCACAGACCUGGUGCCAUGGCAACCGUCCUCUCAGACACGCAUAGAUGGCCAGAUAAAGCCUACCAACACAGUUCACACUGAGUCACAGGACCUCACCAGGGAGGCCACACCUUCUUCGCUCUAGUGCCCAGGCAGGAGCACGACUCGUUCUGUAAAGCCACGGUGGUGAAAGAACGUGUAGGAUGCUUUUCUUCCCGGCCCCUUUGACGGGAGAAAGAAGGUACCCUCAGGAUUUCCAGGCCAGGUCAGUGCAACAGUGUCCCCAGUCAGCCUCCUCACAUACACCAGGAGGGCUUCCAACAAAGAAACUCUGCAGGAGCCCCGUGAUAAGUUCCUUUUCAUGAACUGGUGGCUGCGUUGCUUAAGUACCUGGGACACAAAGCACAUUUAUUUGCAGACUUGAUAAAUUCGGGCAGACUGGGGUUUGAUGCCAAUUUAGAAUGCACUUAACCCUGCCUUUCCAUUGGCUAAGGUAGAGCUCUUCAUUUCAUCUAAUGCUCAUCUUUUGCCUUGAUUUUUAAGACCCAAGGACAUUAAAUUCCAUUUAUUUUAUUAUCAGAAACUGCAGCAAUGUGAUCCUUUUAACACUUUAUCUUUUAGUAAAGAGUAAUAUAAAAAGUUAUUUUUAUGUUGAAAUGUGUGGGCUUCUUAUGGGCAAAAAUAUAAAUUUCUGUAAGUUUUAAGAUUCAGCAUAAAACUUCCAUUGUUCAUUUACUGAAACUCUUUGGACUAUUUAUCCAGUGAUGUGCUAACUCUUCCUAGCCUUGGGAGAUUUUGGUGGGAAAGUCAGAGAAGUGCCCCUAUGCAUUAGUGACCCUUGAUAUUGACUGUCUCUAAUGCUCCUUUUGAAAGAACAGUGAUUUUAUUGUGGACCAAAUGCCACACAAAAUUUGGAAAUGUGGAUUUGUGGAAAGCUGAACAGAUUCCUUUGUGAUGAAGUCUGGAUAAAUGAUUAUAUAAUCAGUUUCUCCCACCAUGAUGGGCCAUGUUGAUCUGCUGCAGUAAGACAAAUACAGGUGGCAGAAAUAGCUGUGUGGUCAGCUUGUUCUCAUUUUGAGAACCUGUAUUCUUCAGUAUAGUUCUCUUUAUGUAUGAAUUCCUGCACUAGCCAGAAUGCAUACAUUUAUGUAUAAUCUAGAAAUGUAUGCUAGUUUUUGGCUUUAUCCUCUUCAGGGAUCCCAUACUAUGCCCUUUUAAGAUGUAGAAAAACUAUUUAUUUUAAUCAUUAUCUCUUGUUCAAGAGGCCAGGUAGGAAGAUAGGCACUGGAUGCCAGGGUGCUGGUAGCACAGGGCGCUUUGAUUACCACAUGCAAGUUUCUUAUUUUAGUAACUUCUAAACACAGUCAUUCCCCAGUGUGCAUUGCUGCAAAAUGCUCUGCACAUGACAAAAUUCUCAGAUGUUCCAGUUCCUUAUUUUAAAUGGUGUAGUAUUUCCAUAUAAUCUGUGCACACCCUCCCAUGUACUUUAAAUUAGCUCUAGAUUAUUUAUAAUACCUGAUACAAUGUAAAUGCCAUGUAAAUAGUUGCUGCAUUAUAUUUUAUGAAAUUAUAAUAAAAAUUGCACGUUCAAUACAAA